UUACCUGGCAGCAGGAAAUAAAAAAAGCUGAAGUCUCUGUGUUGGUUUUACAUUAACUAGUGGAGCUUUUCACCUGCUGGAUCACAUGAAAGCUUUUAUUGUUCUCAGACACAAAGACACGUAGCUCCACCAUCAUGUGUUCACGACACGCCACUCCUCCUCGCCGGGAUGCUGGUAGCUGCAGAUGCUACAGCUGAUUAGCUCUCUGCACAGUAAAAUGACUGCAAACACAGACUUUAUUCACACGUUUGACUCCAGCAGAGACAGCUUCAGGAUUUAGUCUCUUUUUUUUUCUGUCCCACAGAACCUGUGAGGCUUCCUGCUGAAGAAUCACCUCCGUAAACCCACCAGGACCGCCCCGUCCUCCUCUCUGAAAGUCUCAGUUCUGUCCUGCAGCUCAUUUAUCAACAGCAGGAGAAACCGUCACGUUUACAAUCCAUGACCAGAGACCAGGAUCAGAACGAACCAACGACUCAUUUCUUUAACGUGUCGCUUCAAACUGAUGGUUUAAUCAUAAUCUGAGGCUCUAAUAUGAAUCACCUGUUUUCAGACCUCAGUUCUGCAGGAAAACACGUUUCUAAACCCAUCAAACAGAGACAGGAAGAACGAGUAAAGUAUGUGUGCGUUAAGUGUGUUAGCAUGUUCGAGGUGUUAGCAUGUUUGAGGUGUUAGCAUGUUCGAGGUGUUAGCAUGUUUGAGGUGUUAGC